GACUAGGAGGAGCGAGACGGAACGAGAGAAAGGACUGAAAGGAUCCAAGACUUACUGCCCGCCACUCUGUGCAAGGAGAUCCAGUUGUUCAACGCCUACCAGCACACCUCUGAUUCUUGUGCUAGUCAAAGUACUAGACAUCUAGGUAUUUGCCCUUAGGUGUUCGGACUUCAAGUAUUAGAUACCAGACCUUCCACAGAAUCAGGCUUGCUGAGCGCCCUGGAAUGGGGACAAUGUACCCUGCUAGGGAAGCCGUUCCAGAGCAGCUUCCACAGAGCAUCCUGCAACUUAUCUGACAAUCCUAAUCAAUGGAAGAUUGAUAGGUGGACACAAUAUCUUCAUUUUAUUUUUAUGUGGUGCUGAGGAUCGAGCCCAGGGCCUCACGCAUGCUAGAAGGCACUGAAAAGACGCAAAGAGAAUUGAUGUGCUUAGAUUCACCAGGAGCCAAGUAAGAGCUGAUAUCCAUGGAUAUUCAAUAAGAAUUAUUUUGUGGGGAGGUUGAGGUGCGACGGUGGAAUUGUGAUUACAUUGCUAAAAGGACCUCAUCUUUUAAAGAUAUUGACGUUUAUGUAUGAAAUGAUAUGAUGAGUGGAAUUGGCUUCAAAAUAACGAGAGCUGGGGUGGGCAUGGAUGUGACUGCUGUUGAAGGCGGGCAACGGAUACACUGGAACUCAAUUUGUUCUUUUCCUGGUGGCAAGGAAUGGUAACAGCAGUCCAAGGCACACCGACAUCAAGAAGAAAAAGAGGGAUCAUCUUUACUGAGGCUCUGGCUCUCCCUUGGAAGGAAGGGAGAAGGAAAAAAGGGGUCUGGUGGGGACCAAUGGAGUCCAUGGCACAAAGGAAGGAUUCUGUGGUCAAGUAUGUUGGACUGGAAAGGCUAUGAAACUAGCCCUGGCAGUGGCUCAGGAGAAUGUGACAAUUUCAUUAAAUCUCUGAUUCUUUCAUUUUUAAUUAGUUUUUUAUUCUAAUUAGUUGCACAUGACAGUAAAAUGCAUUUUUGCAUUUCGAUAGAUAAUACAUAAAUGGAGUAUAAUUUCUCAUUUUUCUGAUUGUACAUAUUGCAGGAUCACAUCAGGCAUGUAGUCAUAUACGUACACGAGGUAAUAAUGUGUCACUCUACUAUCCUUCCUCCCUCCAUACCCCUUCCCCUCCCUUCACUCCCCUCUACCUAAUAUAAAGUAACUAUUCUUCCCCAUCCCCCUCACCCACCCCCAGCUUAUUGUGAAUUUGUACCCACGUAUCAGAGAAAAUAUUCGACCUUUGGUUUUUUGGGAUUGACUUAUUUGGCUUAGCAUGGGAUAU